UGUACUGAACUAUGUCAAAUGGAGGUUAAUGAGUAUUUAAACGUUGAUAAAUGAAAUGUAGCAAAUUUAAAUGAAAUUAAUUGGAAUACGCAGUAAUCUUGAAAUAAUCAUUCUUUAAAGGUUUAGACGUAUCAUUUAUGAUUUUGAUUAUCUGAGGUAUUAACUGUUGCAUAGAAUCAGUGUGAACAUGGGUAGUGCAGCACACUUUGGUAAUGGAACUAAACUUACAGUCCUAGAGCGUAAUUUAAGUAUACCAAAUUCUGUAGAAAUCCUGAAGCCCUCUGGAAUCGAGACUGGCUGUAAGAAAAAAGUCACUCUUGUGUGUGUGGUCAGAAACUUCUACCCAGACCAUGUGAGCAUAAGAUGGACCCUUGGAGGCAUAGAAAUAAAAGAUGAUAUAGCGACAGACCCAUAUGCCAUCCAAGACAAAGACACAAAAUUGUUCAGCAUAUCCAGCAGACUUCAAGUCUCUAAAAAACAAUUCAAACCAAAACACAAUUACACAUGUACAAUGAGAUUCUACAAUGAAACAGACAAGUACCAGAACAUAUCCGGCAGUAUCAUUGGAAUUGAAGGGGAUGAAUAUGAGCCAGAAAACUAUGUGAAUUCAGCACAGUGGAUGAAAUUGGCAUACGGUGUGUUCAUCGCUAAGAGUGGACUGUAUGGUCUUGUCGUCUUAGUGUACGUGAUGAGAAAGGGUUCAUCUGGAAAGUGAAUGACCUGAAGAUUCCUGGAUUGACGGAGUUACCAAGAAAACUCAUCUACUCUUUGAUUAUAUAACUGAAGAUUCUAUCUAUUUCAUUUCAUUUCUCUCUUUCUGUUCUUUACUAAGUGUGUAUCCCAGUGAAAAUCUGCAG